GUGAGCGGCGAGUAAAGAUCUAAGGCUUCGGUCUUAAUUUCGGCUGUGCGCUCAGGCUGCACGCCGUAUAACCUCUCACACCUGUGCACCUUUUCGGUUGCGGCUUCGGCCGCUUCCGCUUUUACAUGCAACCACGAAAAGUCUAGAAUGUGAAGAAAACUAUAAAGUAACAACUUUCAACAACGGAUCUCUUGGCUCUCGCAUCGAUGAAGAACGCAGCGAAAUGCGAUAAGUAAUGUGAAUUGCAGAAUUCAGUGAAUCAUCGAAUCUUUGAACGCACCUUGCGCUCCUUGGUAUUCCAUGGAGCAUGCCUGUUUGAGUGUCACGUAAACCCUCACCCCUGCGAUGUAACAGUCGCCUGCGGUGGACUUGGACCGUGCCGGUAAUCGGCUCGUCUUGAAAUGCAUUAGCUGGCGCUUUUAGAGUGCUGGGCGAACGGUGUGAUAAUUAUCUGCGCCGACUGCCCUGGGCCUCUUCAGCGGCGCUGCUUACAGCCGUCCCUUGUGGACAACUAUUUUAAAGCUUUGGCCUCAAAUCAGGUAGGACUACCCGCUGAACUUAAGCAUAUCAAAUGCGGGG
rnacentral:rRNA from 1 species